rnacentral:lncRNA from 1 species
UUAAAAGUCGUAUAGGUACUAUUUGACUGUUUGAUCUAGAUUGUAUAUUUUAUUUUUAAAAGUCUUAUACCUACUAUUUGACUGUUUGAUCUAGACUGUAUAUGUAGAUACUUUAAUACUAUGCUUGCAGAAACCAAUCUGUAUAUACAACACGAAUUUAACUUAAACUUGAAACUUAAAAUGAGCUUCUGGAUGUUUAAUUUUUUCCUAGAAGUUCUCCUGAGUUGCGAGAUUUUUAUAUACCUACCCCCGGUUCUCGCAAAGCGCGUAGUUCAAACAUACUCGUAGUUAGUUUAAAAUAAUAGGCAUAUUAUUAUUUCAAAUUCCGAAAGCAAUUUCCCGUAACUCCUAAAGUCGAAGAUGUAGUGAGACUUGAUAAUUAUUAUGAACCGUACUGGGAAGAAGGUGACUGGGUCUUUCAUAGAGAGUUAGCAUCGACAAGACUCCCAUUGGGCCAUAUCCUAGCUAAUAACGGAACUACUCUACACAGGGAAUGCAAUCAAAUAUGCCUACAGCUAUAUGAGGAGUACGGUCGUGUAUGCGGCAUGCGGGCAAGACUCACCGGUCCCA